rnacentral:sRNA from 1 species
CUUACCGCGUUUCUGUCGUUCAUUGAGACCUUGACGUAUCAAAAAAAUAUAUACUAAAAUAU